UUCCCAGGAACUUCUCGUGAUCUUACGGCAUUGGAUUUCAACGAAGAGGAAGAUGAGUGGCCGAUGUCAGUUACUAAUUAUACAUCAACAUAUUUUACAGACUGUUCAGUCAAUGGGAUGAAUAUGCGAUGUGAAACGUGCGACAGUGAAUGUUUCUGUGAUCUUUAUACAUCGAUAGGAGCUGUUUCUUGCAAAGAACCAGGUUAUAUUGGAUGUUUCAGUGAUUAUAACCGUUUAGGACCCGGCAGAGAUCGCGUGCUUUCCAAUCGCCCCCGUGACUCUAUCGAUAUUCUCACGAUUG